rnacentral:rRNA from 1 species
GAUGAACGCUGGCGGCGUGCUUAACACAUGCAAGUCGAACGGAAAGGCCCAAGCUUGCUUGGGUACUCGAGUGGCGAACGGGUGAGUAACACGUGGGUGAUCUGCCCUGCACUUCGGGAUAAGCCUGGGAAACUGGGUCUAAUACCGGAUAGGACGAUGGUUUGGAUGCCAUUGUGGAAAGUUUUUUCGGUGUGGGAUGAGCUCGCGGCCUAUCAGCUUGUUGGUGGGGUAAUGGCCUACCAAGGCGUCGACGGGGAGCCGGCCUGAGAGGGUGUACGGCCACAUUGGGACUGAGAGACGGCCCAGACUCCUACGGGAGGCAGCAGGGGGGAAUAUUGCACAAUGGGCGCAAGCCUGAUGCAGCGACGCCGCGUGGGGGAUGACGGCCUUCGGGUUGUAAACUCCUUUCGCUAGGGACGAAGCGUUUUUGUGACGGUACCUGGAGAAGAAGCACCGGCUAACUACGUG